CGAAAGCCUGGCGGAGCAAUACCGCGUGAGGGAAGAAGGCUUUUGGGUUGUAAACCUCUUUUGUCAGGGAAGAAGAAUUGACGGUACCUGAAGAAAAAGCAUCGGCUAACUCCGUGCCAGCAGCCACGGUAAUACGGAGGAUGCAAGCGUUAUCCGGAAUCAUUGGGCGUAAAGGGUCCGCAGGUGGCGAAUAAAGUCUGCUGUUAAAGACCGGGGCUUAACUCCGGAAAGGCAGUGGAAACUGAUUAGCUAGAGUAAGGUAGGGGUAGAGGGAAUUCCCAGUGUAGCGGUGAAAUGCGUAGAUAUUGGGAAGAACACCGGUGGCGAAAGCGCUCUACUAGGCCGAAACUGACACUGAGGGACGAAAGCUAGGGUAGCGAAAGGGAUUAGAUACCCCUGUAGUCUUAGCGGUAAACGAUGGAUACUAGGUGUAGCUUGUAUCGACCCGAGCUGUGCCGAAGCUAACGCGAUAAGUAUCCCGCCUGGGGAGUACGCACGCAAGUGUGAAACUCAAAGGAAUUGACGGGGGCCCGCACAAGCGGUGGAGUAUGUGGUUUAAUUCGAUGCAACGCGAAGAACCUUACCAGGGCUUGACAUGUCGCGAAUCUAGCGGAAACGUUAGAGUGCCUUAGGGAAUGCGAACACAGGUGGUGCAUGGCUGUCGUCAGCUCGUGUCGUGAGAUGUUGGGUUAAGUCCCGCAACGAGCGCAACCCUCGUCCUUAGUUGCCAAUAUUAAGUUAGGCACUCUAGGGAGACUGCCGGGGACAACUCGGAGGAAGGUGGGGAUGACGUCAAGUCAGCAUGCCCCUUACGUCCUGGGCUACACACGUACUACAAUGGUUGGGACAAAGGGCAGCAAGCUCGCGAGAGUAAGCGAAUCUCAUCAAACCCAGCCACAGUUCAGAUUGCAGGCUGCAACUCGCCUGCAUGAAGUAGGAAUCGCUAGUAAUCGCAGGUCAGCAUACUGCGGUGAAUUCGUUCCCGGGCCUUGUACACACCGCCCGUCACACCAUGGAAGCUGGCUACGCCCGAAGUCGUUACCCUAACCCGGUUUUGGGAGGGGGAUGCCGAAGGUAGAGCUAGUGACUGGGGUGAAGUCGUAACAAGGUAGCCGUACCGGAAGGUGUGGCUGGAUCACCUCCUUU
rnacentral:rRNA from 1 species